GAUGAACGCUGGCGGUAUGCUUAACGCAUGCAAGUCGAACGGACUCUUCGGAGUUAGUGGCGGACGGGUGAGUAACGCGUGAGAAUCUGGCUUUGGGUUCGGGACAACCACUGGAAACGGUGGCUAAUACCGGAUGUGCCGAGAGGUAAAAGAGAAAUUGCCUGAAGAUGAGCUCGCGUCUGAUUAGCUAGUUGGUGAGGUAAAGGCUCACCAAGGCAGCGAUCAGUAGCUGGUCUGAGAGGAUGACCAGCCACACUGGGACUGAGACACGGCCCAGACUCCUACGGGAGGCAGCAGUGGGGAAUUUUCCGCAAUGGGCGAAAGCCUGACGGAGCAAUACCGCGUGAGGGAAGAAGGCUCUUGGGUUGUAAACCUCUUUUCUUAGGGAAGAACAAAAUGACGGUACCUAAGGAAUCAGCAUCGGCUAACUCCGU
rnacentral:rRNA from 1 species